AGGGAGCCCCCCUCGGCCGUGGUGUGGGGGUUCCUCGCCGGGGGUCUCCCCUGUGCCGGCUGAAAGGAGGAAGCGGGACCCUGGGCGUUAGGGAGCGUUGGAGGAGGUGUUACGUCCGGUGUGUGGAGGGCAGCCUUCCUCCAGCUGGUCGCUGCUGGAGCAGGCUGGGCGGGACAUGAGUCCCGUCCUGGAGCCCACAGACUGCUGGUCCGACAGGAGACGGCCCGGUGAAGGCCGCCUCCUCGUUGUGAUAUCAACAAAGAGGGACAGAGUCUUCAGCUGAAUACGGUGUGGGGGCAGGAGAGAGGGGAGAGGAGAACGAGAGGAGGAGCUCAGCAGAGAGAGGUGUGGUUCUGGCCUAGUGGAGGAGCUGGAGAGAGAGAGGUGUGGUUCUGGACUAGAGGAGGUGCUGGAGAGAGAGAGAGGUGUGGUUCUGGCCCAGAGGAGGUGCUGGAGAGAGAGAGGUGUGGUUCUGGCCCAGAGGAGGUGCUGGAGAGAGAGAGGUGUGGUUCUGGACUAGAGGAGGUGCUGGAGAGAGAGAGGGGUGUGGUUCUGGCCCAGAGGAGGUGCUGGAGAGAGAGAGAGAGAGAGGUGUGGUUCUGGCCCAGAGGUGCUGGAGGAGGUCUGUGUUCAGGGUCCGGGGCGACGGCUGAGGUGUGGCGGUAUUCUCCUAUCUCUAUCUUCUAUCUCCUUGCUGUCUGUCAAACUCUCCUGUCUGCACCUUCUCUGCUUCACACACUGGCUCUCUCUGAUACUCCUCCAUCAGCCCCUCCACCAUCCCCUCCUCCACCCCUCCUCCACCCUUCAGCCCCACAUCUCUCCAUCUCCUUCCAUCAUUAAUCUAUUACUCCUAUCAAUCCCUCUCGUCCACAAAUCGAGCUGAUGGAUUUGUGAUUGAUUUUAUGCAAACAAUUUCAGAUGUUAUUGUUCACCAUUAGCCUCCACCAGAAAUACACACACACACACUCACACACUCUCACACACACACACACACACCCACACAACCUCAGGAGUGAUAUUUAUAGAACAUUCAAUACCCCUGUUAUUUACACAAGGUAUUCCGCCUCAUUCUAUACAACACUCUCUGUGGGUUUAGGUGUGUGUGUGUGUGUGUGUGUGUGUGUGUGUGUGUGUGUGUGUGUGUGUGUGUGUGUGUGUGUGUGUGUGUGUGU
ensembl:lncRNA